GGGGAAUAUUGCACAAUGGGCGAAAGCCUGAUGCAGCAACGCCGCGUGUGUGAAGAAGGCCUUCGGGUUGUAAAGCACUUUCAGCGGGGAGGAAGGCAAUACGGUUGAUAACCGUGUUGAUUGACGUUACCCGCAGAAGAAGCACCGGCUAACUCCGUGCCAGCAACCGCGGUAAUACGGAGGGUGCAAGCGUUAAUCGGAAUUACUGGGCGUAAAGCGCACGCAGGCGGUCUGUCAAGUCGGAUGUGAAAUCCCCGGGCUCAACCUGGGAACUGCAUUCGAAACUGGCAGGCUUGAGUCUUGUAGAGGGGGGUAGAAUUCCAGGUGUAGCGGUGAAAUGCGUAGAGAUCUGGAGGAAUACCGGUGGCGAAGGCGGCCCCCUGGACAAAGACUGACGCUCAGGUGCGAAAGCGUGGGGAGCAAAC
rnacentral:rRNA from 1 species